GAUAACUACUGGAAACGGUGGCUAAUACCGCAUAACGUCGCAAGACCAAAGAGGGGGACCUUCGGGCCUCUUGCCAUCAGAUGUGCCCAGAUGGGAUUAGCUUGUUGGUGAGGUAACGGCUCACCAAGGCGACGAUCCCUAGCUGGUCUGAGAGGAUGACCAGCCACACUGGAACUGAGACACGGUCCAGACUCCUACGGGAGGCAGCAGUGGGGAAUAUUGCACAAUGGGCGCAAGCCUGAUGCAGCCAUGCCGCGUGUAUGAAGAAGGCCUUCGGGUUGUAAAGUACUUUCAGCGGGGAGG
rnacentral:rRNA from 1 species